rnacentral:rRNA from 1 species
GACGAACGCUGGCGGCGUGCUUAACACAUGCAAGUCGAACGGAAAGGCCCUGCUUUUGUGGGGUGCUCGAGUGGCGAACGGGUGAGUAACACGUGAGUAACCUGCCCUUGACUUUGGGAUAACUUCAGGAAACUGGGGCUAAUACCGGAUAGGAGCUCCUGCUGCAUGGUGGGGGAUGGAAAGUUUCGGCGGUUGGGGAUGGACUCGCGGCUUAUCAGCUUGUUGGUGGGGUAGUGGCGGACCAAGGCUUUGACGGGUAGCCGGCCUGAGAGGGUGACCGGCCACAUGGGGACUGAGAUACGGACCAGACUCCUACGGGAGGCAGCAGUGGGGAAUAUUGCGCAAUGGGCGGAAGCCAGAUGCAGCAACGCCGCGUGCGGGAUGACGGCCUUCGGGUUGUAAACCGCUGUCGCCGGUGACGAAGCGUGAGUGACGGUAAUGGGUAAAGAAGCACCGGCUAACUACGUG